rnacentral:lncRNA from 1 species
CCACUGGACCCAUCGUUCACUGGCCCCGUUCCAGUUCUCCUGGGCAUCUGGGCUGCCGGACCGGGUUGAGGCCUCUGCCCCUCCGGUUUCUUCACAAAAUUUUUGAGAUGCCCCCUUUUUAUCAAUCUUUCAAUCUCUGCAAUUAACUGAAAACAGUUAUUUGUGUCGUGGCUAUGCGUUCGGUGAUACUGACAAUACUUAUCAGGAUUUCUCUGAUCUGCUUCCGACUUCAAAGGUUGAGGCCACUGGAGAAACUCUUUAUUUUGGACGGCCAUGAGCACCUCGGCUCUAGACGCAUUUAAUGGAGUCGGUUUCUCCGGAACCCAAGGAGGGAGCGUUCUUGGUUCG